rnacentral:rRNA from 1 species
GAGGAAAGAGGGAGGCGUGCUUAACACAUGCAAGUCGAACGGAAAGGCCCUGCUUUUGUGGGGUGCUCGAGUGGCGAACGGGUGAGUAACACGUGAGUAACCUGCCCUUGACUUUGGGAUAACUUCAGGAAACUGGGGCUAAUACCGGAUAGGAGCUCCUGCUGCAUGGUGGGGGUUGGAAAGUUUCGGCGGUUGGGGAUGGACUCGCGGCUUAUCAGCUUGUUGGUGGGGUAGUGGCUUACCAAGGCUUUGACGGGUAGCCGGCCUGAGAGGGUGACCGGCCACAUUGGGACUGAGAUACGGCCCAGACUCCUACGGGAGGCAGCAGUGGGGAAUAUUGCACAAUGGGCGGAAGCCUGAUGCAGCAACGCCGCGUGCGGGAUGACGGCCUUCGGGUUGUAAACCGCUUUCGCCUGUGACGAAGCGUGAGUGACGGUAAUGGGUAAAGAAGCACCGGCUAACUACGUG